AACCCUGAGGCGUGAUGACGAUGCACUACGGUGCAGAAGUAGUUGAUGCCCUGCUUCCAGGAAAAUCCUCUAAGCUCCAGGUAACAUUAAAUCGUACCCCAAACCGACACAGGUGGUCAGGUAGAGAAUACCAAGGCGCUUGAGAGAACUCGGGUGAAGGAACUAGGCAAAAUGGUGCCGUAACUUCGGGAGAAGGCACGCUGGCAUGUAGGUGAAGUCCCUUGCGGAUGGAGCUGAAGCCAGUCGAAGAUACCAGCUGGCUGCAACUGUUUAAUAAAAACACAGCACUGUGCAAACACGAAAGUGGACGUAUACGGUGUGACGCCUGCCCGGUGCUGGAAGGUUAAUUGAUGGGGUCAGCCGCAAGGCGAAGCUCUUGAUCGAAGCCCCAGUAAACGGCGGCCGUAACUAUAACGGUCCUAAGGUAGCGAAAUUCCUUGUCGGGUAAGUUCCGACCUGCACGAAUGGCGUAAUGAUGGCCAGGCUGUCUCCACCCGAGACUCAGUGAAAUUGAACUCGCUGUGAAGAUGCAGUGUACCCGCGGCAAGACGGAAAGACCCCGUGAACCUUUACUAUAGCUUGACACUGAACAUUGAGCCUUGAUGUGUAGGAUAGGUGGGAGGCUUUGAAGCGUGGACGCCAGUCUGCGUGGAGCCAUCCUUGAAAUACCACCCUUUAAUGUUUGAUGUUCUAACUCGGCCCCAUAAUCUGGGGUGAGGACAGUGUCUGGUGGGUAGUUUGACUGGGGCGGUCUCCUCCCAAAGAGUAACGGAGGAGCACGAAGGUUAGCUAAUCACGGUCGGACAUCGUGAGGUUAGUGCAAAGGCAUAAGCUAGCUUGACUGCGAGAGUGACGGCUCGAGCAGGUACGAAAGUAGGUCUUAGUGAUCCGGUGGUUCUGAAUGGAAGGGCCAUCGCUCAACGGAUAAAAGGUACUCCGGGGAUAACAGGCUGAUACCGCCCAAGAGUUCAUAUCGACGGCGGUGUUUGGCACCUCGAUGUCGGCUCAUCACAUCCUGGGGCUGAAGUAGGUCCCAAGGGUAUGGCUGUUCGCCAUUUAAAGUGGUACGCGAGCUGGGUUUAGAACGUCGUGAGACAGUUCGGUCCCUAUCUGCCGUGGGCGUUGGAAGAUUGAGAGGGGUUGCUCCUAGUACGAGAGGACCGGAGUGAACGCACCACUGGUGUUCGGGUUGUCAUGCCAAUGGCAUUGCCCGGUAGCUAAGUGCGGAAAAGAUAAGCGCUGAAAGCAUCUAAGCGCGAAACUUGCCUCAAGAUGAGUCUUCCCUGGGCCUUCAAGGCCCCUGAAGGAACGUUUAAGACUAAGACGUUGAUAGGCUGGGUGUGUAAGUGCAGCGAUGCAUUGAGCUAACCAGUACUAAUGAUCCGUGAGGCUUAACCUU
rnacentral:rRNA from 1 species